ACACCGGCAGCCCAAGUGGUGGCCAUUUUUAUUGGGCCUAAAGCGUUCGUAGCCGGCCUGAUAAGUCUCUGGUGAAAUCCCGCAGCUUAACUGUGGGAAUUGCUGGAGAUACUAUCAGGCUUGAGGUCGGGAGAGGUUAGAGGUACUCCCAGGGUAGGGGUGAAAUCCUAUAAUCCUGGGAGGACCACCUGUGGCGAAGGCGUCUAACUGGAACGAACCUGACGGUGAGUAACGAAAGCCAGGGGCGCGAACCGGAUUAGAUACCCGGGUAGUCCUGGCCGUAAACGAUGUGGACUUGGUGUUGGGAUGGCCUCGAGCUGCCCCAGUGCCGAAGGGAAGCUGUUAGGUCCACCGCCUGGGAAGUACGGUCGCAAGACUGAAACUUAAAUGAAUUGGCGGGG
rnacentral:rRNA from 1 species